UACGGGAGGCAGCAGGGGGAAUAUUGCACAAUGGGCGAAAGCCUGAUGCAGCUAUGCCGCGUGUAUGAAGAAGGCCUUAGGGUUGUAAAGUACUUUCAUCGGGGAGGAAAAACAAAACUAAUAAUUUUAUUUCUUGACGUUACCCGAAAAAGAAGCACCGGCUAACUCCGUGCCAGCAGCCGCGGUAAUACGGAGGGUGCCAGCGUUAAUCAGAAUUACUGGGCGUAAAGAGCACGUAGGUGGUUUUUUUAAAGUCAGAUGUGAAAUCCCUGGGCUUAACCUAGGAACUGCAUUUUGAAACUGAAAUACUAGAGUAUCGUAGAGGGAGGUAGAAUUCUAGGUGUAGCGGUGAAAUGCGUAGAUAUCUGGAGGAAUACCUGUGGCGAAAGCGGCCUCCUAAACGAAUACUGACACUGAGGGUGCGAAAGCGUGGGGAGCAAACGAGGGAUUAGAUACC
rnacentral:rRNA from 1 species